AUUGAACGCUGGCGGCAGGCCUAACACAUGCAAGUCGAGCGGAUGAAGGGAGCUUGCUCCUGGAUUCAGCGGCGGACGGGUGAGUAAUGCCUAGGAAUCUGCCUGGUAGUGGGGGAUAACGUCCGGAAACGGGCGCUAAUACCGCAUACGUCCUGAGGGAGAAAGUGGGGGAUCUUCGGACCUCACGCUAUCAGAUGAGCCUAGGUCGGAUUAGCUAGUUGGUGGGGUAAAGGCCUACCAAGGCGACGAUCCGUAACUGGUCUGAGAGGAUGAUCAGUCACACUGGAACUGAGACACGGUCCAGACUCCUACGGGAGGCAGCAGUGGGGAAUAUUGGACAAUGGGCGAAAGCCUGAUCCAGCCAUGCCGCGUGUGUGAAGAAGGUCUUCGGAUUGUAAAGCACUUUAAGUUGGGAGGAAGGGCAGUAAGUUAAUACCUUGCUGUUUUGACGUUACCAACAGAAUAAGCACCGGCUAACUUCGUGCCAGCAGCCGCGGUAAUACGAAGGGUGCAAGCGUUACUCGGAAUUACUGGGCGUAAAGCGUGCGUACGUGGUUAUUUAAGUCCGUUGUGAAAGCCCUGGGCUCAACCUGGGAAACUGCAGUGGAUACUGGAUGACUAUAAUGUGGGAAAUGUGCGGAUUCCUGGUGUAGCUGUGAAAUGCGGAAAAUCGGAGGAACAGCCCCU
rnacentral:rRNA from 1 species